UUCUACAUAAAAUUUUGAUUUCAAAAAAUGGAACAUAGAACACAGAUGCUGCAUCAUGAAUUCGAAUGCUUGCACGUUACAUUAUUCAAAAAGGUUUCUAUAAUGACGUAUAACACAAUAUUCAACUUAACAUAACAUAACACAAACUUUAAAAAACUAUAGCUAAACAUAGUCCUUUCCUAUCCUUUGCCCUUAGCCCUUGGUAUCUUUCUAGGACUCCCUUUCUAUAGCUCAUUAACAUCAGUCCUCCCUCCUUCUUUUCCUUACGAGAUAUUUCCAUGCUGAAGAUAGCUCUACUGAUUGCCUCUCAUUUAUUACUUCCCCUCUUCUACUCCCUUCCAAGAUUUUCAUCCCUUCUACUACUGGGAGCUCUUUCACAUCAUCUACUUUUUUUAUUACCUUCGCUUCUUCCCAGUUUACUUCCACAUUAUACUCGUACACCCUUCUUGCAAGGGCCGUUGUCAGUCUACCUUUCUUUAUAUCUUCUUCAUGCUCUCU
rnacentral:lncRNA from 1 species